rnacentral:lncRNA from 1 species
AUGAUACCAACUAUGUGGGAAGUUCCCCAGCGUGACCAUUCAGAGCCUCGGGACUACGAGACCCAUCAAGAUACCUUCUUGAGGGGUGAGGGCCAGGAUCCCACCAUGUCAAGAUAUUCUUGUUUCCUAGCAACUCUGAUGCUGACUUUGCUGGGUUGGUCUCCUCCUUCACUACUGUCCACAUUUUCCCCCCAGCUUGGGAAGAACUUUUCUCCCAGUGAUGUGAGUACCUAAGACAUACUCACCCUCAGUUCCACAGACCCCUAGAUUCUGCCUCUCAUUGCUGGAUAGUUAGGCCCCCAGCAGUUGCUCCUGACCAAAAGAAAAAUGAAGCGAAUAGUAUGUCUACGGGAUGAUUUAGUGACAUCAUGUGCCCUGGUGCUACUAGCCACAUCUAGACUAAUGGCAAUUCUGUCUCUAGACUAACAAUAAUGGUCCACAGGGCACCUGGGUAGCUCAGUGGGUUAAGUGUCAGACUCCUGAUUUCAGCUCAGGUCAUGAUCUCAUGAUGUGUGAAAUCAAGGCUUGCAGUGGGCUCUGUGCUGACAAUGUGGAGCCUGCUUAGGAUUCUCUCUCUCUGUCUUUCUCUUUUCCUGCCCGGUUCAUGCAUGCACACUCUCUCUCAAAAUAAAUAAGUAAACUCAAAAAAAAAAAAAAAAAGA